AGCUAGUUAGUUGACAUGGCAUCUAAAUUGCCAGAUUUUUGCUCUAUCCAUCAACCUAAUGAGCAGCAAAUAGAGGUUUUUGCUGAGGGGAAAGUAAUAAAACGAAUACAGUGGGACAGCUUUGGCCCAGGGACACGUCUGGAGAUUAAACGGAAUGAUGCCCAGCCAUCCGUCUUUUUGUUCCAACCAUCUCCGGACCAGUUACAUACCGGCAGUGCCUCUGUCGUGUGCUUGCUGAAUGGCUUCUACCCCAGAGACGUCAAUGUCAAAUGGAAGGUUGAUGGUGUUACCAAAAACACAGGCAUCCUGGAAAGUGUCACAGAACAGGACACCAAGGACAGCACCUACAGCCUCAGCAGCACCUUGACGCUGCCCAGUACGGAGUACCUAAGUCAUGAGAAGUACUCCUGUGAGGUCACUCACAAGAGCCUGUCCUCCCCUCUUGUUAAGAGCUUCCAAAGGAGCGAGUGCCAAUGAGUGGCCUAGCAGCCCCCACCACCUAUCCCUCAGUCCCAGCCUCUGUGCCUCCCCCGUCAGGCCUCUGGUCCUUUCCAUCAGAGACCCACCCCUGUUGCAGACCCCUCUCCCCACCUUACUACCUCCCCCUUUGGCUUUAAUCAUGCUAAUAAUAUUUGGGGGGAACGAAUAAAUAAAGUGAAUCUUUGCACCUGUGA